CUACCGGGGUAUCUAAUCCUGUUUGCUCCCCAUGCUUUCGUACCUGAACGUCGGUGCUGGACCAGGAAGCCGCUUUCGCCACUGGUGUUCUUUCCGAUAUCUACGCAUUUCACCGCUACACCGGAAGUUCCGCUUCCCUCUUCCGCACCCUAGCUGAACAGUCUCGAAUGCCAUUCCCAGGUUGAGCCCGGGGCUUUCACAUCCGACUUAUCCAACCGUCUACGUACGCUUUACGCCCAGUAAUUCCGAUUAACGCUCGCACCCUCUGUAUUACCGCGGCUGCUGGCAC
rnacentral:rRNA from 1 species